rnacentral:snoRNA from 1 species
AGGCCCAGUGAUUAUGAAAAGACGCGUUAUUACGAGGACUUAUACCGGGGCCUCUUCACCACUUUCUCCCCCUCCUCCUCCUCCUUCUCCCCUUUAUGCUUGUUCUUGCUUUCCUUCUUUCGGGGUACCCGGUGUCCUUUGAGCAAGAUUAUGAGAUGAGGGCUC